ACGCAGACUACCGGGCCAUACUGUACUGUGCCAACCUGCCCUCGCACACUCGGCCACGCCUGACCCACUCACGCGCCCGCCACGCUGCUGCACGACUGACAGACCGCAAGCUUCUUCGCCGCCACUCGGGAGCUUCUUGGUGGCGAUGACAGACUGAUGCAUCACGCUCGUAGCACUAUUCUGGUCUGAGGCAGUUUAGGGUUAUAUCGUGAAGUGCUGUUUUACGUAUAGUGAAGGAAACGAAUGACAGGGUACACGUUCCUGAAGCCUUUCUAAAUGUAUGUCCUGGAGAAGUCCGCGAGAUUUUUGAGCACAUGUGGUACAAUAGAGGCCAGCGCCAGCGCGGCCUCAGUGCUUGACAAGAAAAAAGUCGAAGAAGUUGAUUCAGUGCACCAAAUUCGAAAGUGUUUUUCUCACCUGCGUUUGGCACAAGUGACAGGAGCAAAGCAGCGGACGUCCUCUGCCCGAAUUGACUUGGAGAAAAGCGACCACCCUCAUUCCGCCAGCAUGAAAUGGAGCGCAGGGCUGAGCACAUGUAGCGGGGGUCAUGAGGACUCGGGGGACCUGCAGGACCGGAACAACAACAAUAAUAAUAACUGCAAGAACAACAAGAACAUCACCAUGACCAGCGAGGAUCUUCUGCAGCCCGGUCACGUGGUCAAGGAGCGAUGGAAAGUGGUUCGGAAGAUCGGUGGCGGCGGUUUUGGGGAGAUCUACGAGGGACAAGAUCUGGUGACUCGCGAGCAGGUUGCCCUCAAGUUGGAAUCCGCCAAGCAGCCCAAGCAGGUCCUCAAAAUGGAGGUGGCAGUACUCAAAAAGCUUCAAGGUCGCGAGCACGUGUGUCGCUUCAUCGGUUGUGGGCGGAACGAGCGCUUCAACUAUGUGGUGAUGCAACUUCAGGCCAAGAACCUCGCCGAGCUGCGCCGCGCCCAACCCCGAGGAGCUUUCAGCCUUUCCACUGCGCUGCGCCUCGGCCACCAGAUCCUUCGUGCCAUCGAGGCCAUCCACGAGGUCGGCUUCCUGCACAGAGACAUCAAGCCGUCCAACUUCAGCAUGGGUCGCCUGCCUCACAACUGUAGAAAAACUUACAUGCUAGACUUUGGACUUGCCCGCCAGUACACCAAUGCAAAUGGAGAGGUGCGGACACCCAGGGCUGCAGCUGGGUUUAGAGGAACAGUAAGAUACGCCUCUAUGAACGCCCACAAGAACAAGGAGAUGGGCCGCCACGAUGACUUGUGGUCCCUCUUCUACAUGGUUGUUGAGUUUGUCAAUGGUCAGCUGCCAUGGAGGAAAAUUAAGGACAAAGAACAGGUUGGUCUAAUGAAGGAGAAGUACGACCACCGCCUCCUCAUCAAACACUUGCCAUCAGACUUCAAGCAAUUCCUUGAACACAUCCAGAAUUUGGAUUACCAUGAUAAACCUGACUAUGCCAUGUUGUCGGGACUGUUUGAGCGCUGCAUGAAGAGGCGAGGCAUUAAGGAAUCAGACCCCUUUGACUGGGAGAAGACCCCCACAGACAACUCCCUUGGAACCACGACUACCACCACUCAUGCUGUCAUCACCAAGCCACAGCAUGCUGACAGCCGCCUGGCGUAUGGUGGUGGCAUGACAGACAACAUGCUGGAUGACAACGUGCUAGGCUCUGUUGACAAUCAGGAGAAUGUUGAGGCACACCAUGAGCGGGAGCACGACCCACGCCGCCGCCGCCGCCGUGACACUGUCCUUCACCAGCCUCAGCCUAACAUUAACCAGCAACAGGUGGAGACUAAGGAGCGGGUGCUGAACGAUAACAACGUCAAUGCCAACAUCAUCGCCAACAAUGAGAAGGACACCAACGAGGUGGAGAUGUCCCCCAAGAAGAGAAAGUUUAGCCACAUUGCAAAUCUACACACAUCUCUUAUGAUGUGCUAUGUUGAAGAGUUUAACUGUGAGAAGGAAGGAGAAGGGGGAGUAGAGAAGGAGAAGGAGGGGCGGCUAGAGUGUUCUACUGACUGGGAUGGAGAUGCAGUCAUGGCGUCCAGGCAAGGCCACACAACACCCAGGGGAGCUGGUGGUGAUGACAACAAGAACAGGAAGCCACUGGCUGUCUUGCGUCUCUCCUCAGUGGACACAGCUGCUGAUGACGUGGACAUGAACGUUGAACCUGCCAGCAAGAGAGAUGAUCAGUAUUCGGUGCAUGAUGCCAGCUACGUAAGCUUCCAAGAGGGUGGACGGCUGGCCCGCAUGGAGCCUACAGGUGGAGUGUCUCCCGGCGGCUCCACACCACCCACUGAAGGAGAGUUCCACCCCCACGCCCGUGACCACACACCGCAUCGCCGAACUCAUCACAAGAGGAGUCUCAGCUUUGCCAGGUUCCAUCCAGUGCAGCGGGCCAAGUACCUGGGACACCGAGACCUCUCCAUCACUCAGUUUGCUUUGGCUGAUGAUGACAACGUAUCCCAGCCUGUGACAAAGGGUGGCGGUGGUGGCCUCACUCUCGCCUCUCAGUGGAAGUCUCAGUUUGAUGACUCAGAGGAGACAGACAAUGAGCUCAAGGCUGACAACCUGCAGAGUCCUGAACACAAGCAAAGAAUUACACUUGUGUCGCCAUCAUCACGGGGGCCUGACGAUACCACCAUCACACCUGUGCAGGAUGCUGGAACCACUGAGAAGUCUCGAAGGGCUGGGGCAGAACUGUCCAGGAUCAGUGAGGAUGACCGCCACCGCUCAUCUGACCACCACACCCACACACAGGUGCCUGAUGUUACAAUAAUAGGAGGCAGUGUUGCUGGAAGCCACGGUGUGGAAGAAUUGCGUGCCAUGACAAAGGCAUCAGGGGGCAUUGAGGAGGUGGAUGACUGUCUGCCACCAGAAGGACAGGAAGGGGUGGUGCAUGUUGAACUUGGUAAUCAGGUUGGCUUACCACGUGCCUGGUCCAAUCCUCAACUGUCCAGUCACAUUCGGCCAGGCCUAGAGCCCCCUCUUGUACACACUACUACAGUUACCGAUGCUGUUUAUGAAGUUGACGUUGCUCGGGGCAUCUGUGUAAAGUCUUCCCGGGAAGGCUCUCCUCUCACACCAGAACGGCGUCAGAGUAUGCCUGACAUUGGUGUAUGUGAAAAUGAAGAAGGAGAAACAGAUGCUGUAGUUGGUGGCAAAAUAGAAUUCCGUGUUCUUGACAAGGACAAGAAGUUGUCUCAUCCCACUCGUCAGACCACCAUUGUUGCCAGCCAGAUCCGAGUAUCGCGCCAGGAGCUGUCAGCGGUGGUGCCAGCUCCUCCUGCUUUUAAUGCAGAUUCAGAAACUACACCUCCUCCACCUCCGCCUCCGCCACCUCUGCCCUCCAUGUUAGACCUGCCUGCUGGAACUACACAUAAAUCAACUUCCCUCCAGUCCAGCCCACUAACCCAUCCAGAGGAACGCUCUAUUUAUUAUGAUGCCCCACCCCCAGAUGACUCCUCUCAUCAAGCCAGUCACAGAACCAAGAGCAGUUCUCCUAGGAAAGACCAAGAUGAAGACGGGCACAAAAGUAUUGAAUCUUCUGAAGGUACAGUGAAAGAUAAGAGUGAUAUUCGUAGCAGUAAGAAGGAUGACUCAAGGAGAAGACUUGGUGUUGUAGCUCUACCAGUGGUCAUGGAAGAUCACAAAGACCGAGAUGUUGAGUCUACACGGUAUGAGUCAGUAAACAAUGCCCCUGAUACCAGUCGAUACGAAACAGCAGCUCAUGAUCAGACCGUCGUGCAGGAGAGUUCCCGUUAUGAAACUGUAAUGGGUGGUCCACUGCCAGAGUCCUCCCGGUAUGAAACAGUCAUGGGCACACGAGAGACUGAAGGAAGAACCAGGCAAGACACCAUCUGUGAAGAAGAGAAAUCACUUUUAUCAGAACGAAGAAAAUCACUAGAAUAUCUAUUAGAAGAAAAGCAGGAUGGAGAUGAUUCACGAAAAAUAUCUGUUAUUAACCUGAAUGACUUAUCUGCUGCCUUUCAAGCCUCCACAAUGAUAAAUCGAUCUAGAACUGUGACACCGUCAGUCUCACCACGGGGAACACCGCCCCAUAGUGAGAGUGGAGGGCGUCGCAGUCGGUCAUCCCGCCACCGCCGCUCCUGUGAGGAUCUCUUAGAGGAAGGAAGUGAGGAGUCUUCCAAAACUAACACACCACGUCCAACAGAUCUGUUAGCACGGUCUUCCUUGUCACCGGACCGACAGCGAAGCAAUGGUGUGAAGAAGUCCCCAGGUAGUCAGGAUGAUUCCUCCCAGAAAAGCCGCAUUCCUGUGCCUAUGUGGGCUCGCACUGCCAAAGAGGGCGAGCCAGAGGGAGGCCUUAUCACUUCAUCUGGGGGAAGAAGUCCACGCUAUUCUGAGUCUGAUCGUGCCGAAGCUGUCCGUAGAAUCUCAGUUGCCUUGGCAGAAAAAGUGGCUUCUCCAGGUAAUGAGGAAGACUCAGUCAGCACAAGAAGUGGUGUGUCGGAGCACCGGUCAGCCCGAGAGCGUGGCUCAGUAGCAUCAGCGGUCAAUGAUUAUCAACGAUCAGGCAGCAAUGAGGACCACAGUGAGGACCUGGCUGACCUGACACCUGCCCUGCGUAGGAGACGACAGGGUGUGGACAAAUAUGUAACAGAUGAAGCCCAGCUCAAUCUUCGCUUCCAGCGCCGCCGCACCCGCCCCAUGUCAGAUGUCACUCCACCACCACCGACCAUACUGCAGUCUAGAAACCGUCAAAGCAACAGACAACGAGUGUCCAUGAUAGAAGCAGGAACAGGUGGUCGAUAUUUUGACACCGGGAGAGGUGUGCCCUCCUACCUCCUCAAGCCCCAGCAUGAAGACUCCAGUGAGUCUGAGAGUUCACAUCCACGAAAGCCACGUCCUCCUUCUUCAGAGCCUCCCUCAGCAGCCAGAGAUGUUGCUGCCAGAUCUCUUCCUCCAUCCCCUCGAAGAGCAAUGAUGAGAAUACGACGUUAUCGGCCUUUGAGUGCAGACAGUGGUGAAAACUUCAGAAGGCAGCACCCACAACGCACAGUCUCUCCAGACUGACAAGAACCUCGGCCCUAGUCUUCAUCGGCAGGAGGAGACAGACAGCUUCCGGAGCCGCUCAUCUGCAAUGCCUCACCUACUACCCAGACACACCUCUUCUCUUCUCACACCCACAAACGCACAAAGUCUCUACCAAGCACAUGCAACAUUUGUACUCACAAGCUCAGCCAUAUGAGGUCAUUCGAUGAAGCAUAUUCAAGUUUCCCCCAGCCAGAGCCACAGCGGUUUGUGAGGGUAAAAGAGGUAAAGAAGCCAAGAAAGACAAGAAAAGUCUGUGGAUGUUGGCAAAUGUUUUUAAGAAGACAAAGGAGAACUUCACCAUCCACAUGUGAGCCAUUGGAGUGGUGAAAUAGCUGGGUUGAGCAGGCAAAGAAAAUAGAUAAGUUUGAACUGCUGUGGUGGCAUUGGCUUGGUGAGGGUGACAGGGAGCUGUCCUUCCUCUGCUGCCUGUUGUGAGACAUGGGUCCCUGAGGGUGGUGGGAGCCAUGUACCCUCACUUGACAGCUAGAAUCAGGUCAGUGCAAUUGGGUGCAGCCGGUUGUAUCAUCACCUGCACAUGGUUGUGAUAUUUGAUAAUGUACGUUCAGUGUACUUACACUUACUAGGUUAGGUAGUAACUGUGCCAUCCUCUGUUGCCAUUGAUUGACUUUUUAUAGGUCAUGCUGGCCACAAGCCCCCAGGUUAUUAGAGUUAUCUUUUAGCUGAGAAAACAGUAUAAAUGGAUAAUUUUAAUGUAAAUUGAAAUUCAAGACCUAAAAGGCACCUAUGGUCAAAUGUGAUGUAAUAUUCUUUAAUGUUUCUUCUGAUCUAGGUACCUUUAUUCACUUCAAAGGUUCUCAAUAACUAUUGUAAAUUUACUAAUAUAAAUAAGCCUUUGAUAUUGUUCUUAAUGAACUAUUUUGGAGAAUAACUGCAAUAUUAUAGAGUGUCUGAAAGUAUGUAUCUCUUGCAUAUUGCCCAAAUACUCAGUAGUCCUUACACUUUGAAGCUUUGUCGUUUUCUCUAUGCUAAUUCAAGAAUGCUGUAAGUAUUCUUAAGGUGCACAUACAUUAUGCUAAUAAUGCAGUUUGAAUGUUCAUUUGGUAAGUGAGGUCUUGGGUUGUCCCUGUGCCAUCUCCUGUGUUGUGGGUUUGUUGUAUUAGUCUCCCCUCUUUGGUUAAGAGGAAUUCAUUUUAUAAUGCAGAACUGGAAGGUCAAAGGUGUACUUCUAUAGUAUUUAUCAAGACUCACAGGAAGGACUGUGUAUAUUGUGUUUUGACAGUGGACUGCCAUGGAAGAAUUUAUAACAUUAUUUUUAAGAAACAAGAAUUAAGGAAUUGCUAUGUUGAAUGUUGAAAAUAUUGGUGAUGAAACUAUAUUUAUAGUGUGGUCAGUAUCCUGUUGUUUUCACUACAUUACAGAAAGUCUUAUGCAUUACUUGUGGGAAAGCUUGUCAGUCAAGAUAUUGUAUACAUUUCUUUACUUGUUAAUGAAAAUGAGUUAUAGUAUCAAAAAUAUUUGUAUGAAGUUUAAUGAUGGGUAUAUUGAAAUUAACAUUCACUAAUUACUAUGAAUUGUUAUGUCAUAUUUGUGCUCUAGUCAUAAACAUUUGUUCUAGUCAUUUUACAGUACAAAGCUCAUGGCUUUGCAAAAGGAAAAAAAAUGGAGAUGUUAUGAAGCUCCUUUUGUAGGUAUUAUAAUGAUUUAAUCAAGCAUUAGUUUAAUUAUAGUUUUAUUUUUCAUACUCCUUCAGGAGUAUCACAGUGAGUGGAAGCAUCAGUGUGAUACUGAGAUAAGCAAGAGAAUGACUCUUUUUCCCUUCAUACUCAAACAGUUCAUUUACUGACUUGUUUUCCCUCAAACACAAACAGAUUACUUAACUGACUAUGAAGCUUCAGUUGUCCAUGUCCUGUCUCAAGUUUACCAAACUUACCAACUUUAUCUUUGCUGUGAUGUCUUAAUAAGAAAGCCCAAGUUUUGUAAGCAAACGCAAAGCUAAGAUUACUCCAACCAGUGUGAAAAUGGCAAACUGUAGAGCUAUUGAUAUAGUCAAGGUGCUUCACCAUCAUUAGUUUGUUUGUGUGUAUACAUUUCCCACAAGUGUGACUGUGGAAAGAAACACUGAGGCACUGUACAGUCACCAUGAGUCUCUGCAAGUGUCUUCAUGAGAGCAAAUCUAUGAAACAUGGUUAUAGAUAUUAGGUUAGGAUGAGUAAUUAUCAUGCCUUGAUAACUAAGCUAGAUUUAUAUAGAAAUUUACAUUAUACCUCCUCAAAUGUUACUCAAUUUCCACCUGAGGGAAGGAUAAUUUUACUUUUGCCUUAGGGUCAACCAUGUGUUUGCAGUCUUGAAAUCAAAAGCUGUUUGCAUUAUUGAGUUUAGUUUUUUUACUUUCUGCCAAAAGUGUUCCAUAUCUAUAACAUGUAGCUUUAUUGGCAUGGUAGUCAUGCUCCCAAGUAUUAUAUUUCACUGCUCGUAUCGUAUUAAUUGCUUAAUACACUCAACAUUUUAAGGGCAGUGAUGAUCUCAAUUAAAUGGAUAUUGAAGUCUUCAUAUUGUCAUAUUAAGGAAAUUUAGGAUAAAAUCAAAUUAAAUUAGUGAUUAUUAUUAAUUUAUUUAAUUUGAAUAUCAUGAAAGUUCCAGUUUGUCCUUUUCAGUCACAGCAUCACUGUUGGAAAUCAUAUGACUCACUUUAUCAUUGUGAAGUGCAAUAUGAAUUUCCCUGAUUCAGGGAAGAACUAGGUCAGGUUGGGCAGCCAGACAGUGAGCAAAGCAACAACUGAAGACUCUAAGGGUAUGGAUGAAGAAAAAAAAUAUUAUAAUCAUAAGUGAGGAUAGCUCCAUGACGUUCAUAACCUCGCAUUCAGGCAUCGAUAAAGUCACAUGGACUCCUAGGCAGCCUACCUGGUAUUAAUUAACUCUAUGAGUUUGUAUAAUAGCAUGUGGUGGACAGCCGGGUAAUUGCAAAGUUAAGAACGUCAAAUUAAACUAGCGAACGAUCAGUUUUAUACUGUCAGUGCUGUCGGUGAUACCGUCAAUUAUUGAACCUACCGAGAACUUUUCAUAUGUUCUUGAAGGCUGUAUGUGUUCUUUGAGUUGUAUUGGUGAGUGCAGGAGGGAGAGGCUGCUGCUGCCAGCCUCUUACCUUGUGUUCCUUUAUUCUUUGUUUCUUUUUUGCUCAUAUAUCAGUGUCCAUGGCAAUCUUUUUUCAUUUAUUUAUUUUUUUCUUUUCUUUUUUUACUUAUUCAUGUGGUUACUGGUCAUCUGUCUAUAAUGUCCAGAUUGUAUAUUUUUGUUCUGUGUAUUUAGAUUGUUAUUUACAAUUAAAUUAUAGCAAUGCCUUCUAA
rnacentral:misc_RNA from 1 species